rnacentral:rRNA from 1 species
GACGAACGCUGGCGGCGUGCUUAACACAUGCAAGUCGAACGCUGAAGCUCAGCUUUUGUUGGGUGGAUGAGUGGCGAACGGGUGAGUAACACGUGAGUAACCUGCCCCCUUCUUUGGGAUAACGCCCGGAAACGGGUGCUAAUACUGGAUAUUCACUGGUCUUCGCAUGGGGGUUGGUGGAAAGGGUUUUUCUGGUUGGGGAUGGGCUCGCGGCCUAUCAGCUUGUUGGUGGGGUGAUGGCCUACCAAGGCUUUGACGGGUAGCCGGCCUGAGCGGGUGACCGGUCACAUUGGGACUGAGAUACGGCCCAGACUCCUACGGGAGGCAGCAGUGGGGAAUAUUGCACAAUUGUCGCAAGCCUGAUGCAGCGACGUCGCGUGAGUGAUAGAGGCCUUCGGGUUUUUAACCUCUUUCGCUCAUGGUCAAGCCGCAACAAUGGUUGUGGUGAGGGUAGUGGGUAAAGAAGCGCCGGCUAACUACGUG